CUGCCACUGCCUGUUGCUUGUCACGACCAGCUGUGUUUCUGAAUCCCAUGGACUUUGCAAUGAGACCUUCUCCUAAGGCCACUGCAAUACAAGGUUGAAAGGAAUGAGCAAGAUAUAAGAUACACAGCUUAACAUGGUAAUGAGGUAACCCUUACACCCCAUGUUCUAUUUGCAUUAAGUCGAGCAUGCAUUAUGAUGAUAUUGUUGAGCCAUACCAAAACUUGCAGUUUGGAACAUUUUAACUCCGUCUGCCGAGUUCUUAUUCCCAGUGAUGAUGCUCUUCUGUGAUCCAUCACCAUAUAUGGUAACAUUUGGCAUCUUCUUUGUCACAGUAACACUCUCAUUAUAGACUCCUUCUUUAACAUAGAUGAUAUACCUGCAUGUUCAUAAGUAUACAACUGUUUAAAAUCAUAAUGCACUCUAUGGCACCACUCCAUGCAUGAAGUAAUUAAACAGCACAACACAAACCUUCCUUCGUAUUUUUCAGGCAUGGCUGACAAUGCUUGACUAAUGGAUUGGUAGUUCCCACUGCCAUCUUUCGCCACUGUGACAUUGGGUGUGGGCAUUUCAUCGUUUUUCUUCAACACCCUUCGCUCGUCAUAUGUCAGCCAGGAAGGAAAGCCAUUCUUGUCCUGUGCCAGAAGACGACGUGAUGAACCUGAUGAUGAUUUACUGCCAGGUACUUCGGAAAGUAGUGAAAUCAUGGCAAGGGAAUUGCUAGUGAGCUCCUUGGUGGCCUCCAAGGUCUUGGUAAUUUUAGACUUCCCAUCUCCAUCAGGAAACCCAUCAAUGCAUGUUUGCCCGUAUGAUAUGACCGCACUCAACCAACUGUUCAAGAGACCGAUCCUCAUUUUCCCAGAACUGGUAGUGUUGCCAACUUGAUACACGGAUUGUUCUAGUUCUUCCUUGGCAUCGUCAAAGAGUGUCUUGCAAUCCUCAAAGGCUUUCUUCUCUUCCUCUUUGUCAAAACUGACCUCGCUGGCUUUGCUGAAGGCACUCUUGGCCUCAUCGGAGGCUCCAGAGAUGAUGGCCUUGAUGACUUCUCUGGGUUUAGAGAUGGGGUCCUUUUUCUUUGAGAACACUUCCUUGCACUUGUCCUUGUAAUCAGUUGACCCGCACAUCUGCUCUACAAGCUUGCUAGAAGUUGAUGGCUUAUCAUCGGUUGAAUUAUUAUCCGAAUCUGGUCUCUUUGGUGGUGGUGAAGCAGGUUUGCUAUCUUUUUUGGUUGCCUCGUGCGUCUUCAAUUUGUUCACAAUGAAUAUGGCUCCAACGAUAAUUCCAAUAAGGAGGAUCACCGCAACAACUGCGAUGAGAAUCCUCUUCUUGAACUUACGGGCAUUCUCGGUCUUUCGCCGCUCAGUU
rnacentral:lncRNA from 1 species